AGUCGAGGGGUAUGCUUCUUCGGAAGCAGAGACCGGCGCACGGGUGCGUAACGCGUAUGCAAUCUACCUUUUACAGAGGGAUAGCCCAGAGAAAUUUGGAUUAAUACCUCAUAGCAUAGCAGUCUCGCAUGAGAUCACUAUUAAAGUCACAACGGUAAAAGAUGAGCAUGCGUCCCAUUAGCUAGUUGGUAAGGUAACGGCUUACCAAGGCUACGAUGGGUAGGGGUCCUGAGAGGGAGAUCCCCCACACUGGUACUGAGACACGGACCAGACUCCUACGGGAGGCAGCAGUGAGGAAUAUUGGACAAUGGGCGCAAGCCUGAUCCAGCCAUGCCGCGUGCAGGAUGACGGUCCUAUGGAUUGUAAACUGCUUUUAUACGAGAAGAAACACUGCUUCGUGAAGCAGCUUGACGGUAUCGUAAGAAUAAGGAUCGGCUAACUCCGUGCCAGCAGCCGCGGUAAUACGGAGGAUCCAAGCGUUAUCCGGAAUCAUUGGGUUUAAAGGGUCCGUAGGCGGUUUAAUAAGUCAGUGGUGAAAGCCCAUCGCUCAACGGUGGAACGGCCAUUGAUACUGUUAAACUUGAAUUAUUAGGAAGUAACUAGAAUAUGUAGUGUAGCGGUGAAAUGCUUAGAGAUUACAUGGAAUACCAAUUGCGAAGGCAGGUUACUACUAAUGGAUUGACGCUGAUGGACGAAAGCGUGGGUAGCGAACAGGAUUAGAUACCCUGGUAGUCCACGCCGUAAACGAUGGAUACUAGCUGUUGGAAGCAAUUUCAGUGGCUAAGCGAAAGUGAUAAGUAUCCCACCUGGGGAGUACGU
rnacentral:rRNA from 1 species